UGCUUGUGCUGUUAGUUCCGUAAAGCUUUUAUAGGGGGCUCUAGUUUCGCAGUUUUUCGAUGCGUACAUGCCUCCAUUUUAUUUCAUUUGAUGGCUGUCAUCAACAAGCGUGUUUAUUUGUGUUUCGGAAUAAAAAAAACUAAAUGAUGGGAUAUGCUGCAAAAUUUCCAAAAGACAAAGCUGAAAAUUAAUUACCAUUCAGUUUUCUAGCUUAUCACGAAAAAAAGAAACAACAGACCUCUUUUUGGGAAAUAAAAUUCGAGGAAUAAAAAUCAAAUGAUGUGUUAAUUGCACUUUAAUACUUCCACAUUGAAAUGUAUCCAGUCUUCAAAAAAAUAGUGAUAUACCUAUUGCAAAUACUGCCAGUAUUUAUAUGCUACGACGCGACGGUUGUCGUGCGACUUUGGUUCGUGAGGGACAGCCCAUUGUUCAAUAUUUAUAUCAAUAUACAACCAGAUAAAUGUUGGCAUAAGGUUAACCGUGAAAUCAUAGAGACUAUGGUUCAUGCAUAUAGUAAGAUAUAUGGUACAUCUUCCAAGAAUGACUACGCCAGUUGGAAGGAGUUUUUUUAGUUCUCCAGAUGGUUACUACCAUUUGCGGUGGUCGUGAAAUUUGGUUUGGUUUUCAUAAAAGUGUACAAUCAUCUCAACGGAAAAAGAUGUUAAAUAUUGCUGUUUCUGCAACGACAUUCCAGUUAUUGAUUUCAUGUGUGAAGUGCUCGAUAUCAGAGGCAUCAAUGAACAGCGCAAAACACUCAUCGAUUCACAGCAAGUCAAGCUCACUAAAGAAAUCAAAUGUCUCAAGUUCGAGAUCACAUCAUGUGCAACGUCACGCGACGACCAAAAGCAAUCGUAAUUUUUCUUUCAGCUUUAUAAUGCUCAAGCUGUGGAUUGCACUGUUGUUGCAUGAAGCAUCCCUAUGCACAUUUGCCAUGUCUGGAAGUAUGACAGGAACACAAACAUACUUAUCUGCCGUUGGAGGUUUGUUACAGUUGCCCGCCAGCGAUGUAUUAAGAAACUUAUGGAUAUGCAAAUAUCGACAAUGAUUAAAGCCACCACGUGAAGGAAAAUAAUUAAAUAAAGCGAACUGAUUUCAACAAAGACUUAUGUUCAAGAAUUUGACUUGAACAUAUCAAAUGCGUGGUCGUGUCCACCACCAAAAUUGCAAUUUGGUGGCCGAGUUUCGAGUAUGAGUGUACAACAACAUUUUCCUACACCAAAUAAGAUGAGUUUGGCAUCGCACAUUCAAGGUUAUUGAGACGGGACAUGCUUAUGGCAAGCAAUUUUUCACAGGAGUGGAUAUCCGUGUGUGGGGCGGGCAUUUGCUCCAAAAAGAACAGUGCAAGGCUUUGUAUUAUAACUAAUUUCAAGCAACAGUUUUUGUUUUAAAUAAAUUUAUUUAUACAACUUGGAUGGUGCGGAAUGGUUCUCGUUCUUAUUAAAUUAAAGGUUGAAGUUGCCGUGGGAGUACUUUUCUUUAUUGUUGUGUGACAAUCGUUUAUUCAAAUUUAUAUGGCAUCCUCGAUUCUUGCUACGUAAUUUGACUGUAAUUAGAGCAUUACUGCUUGUUCUAUCUGAAUCGAGAUUUGAAAGACGCAGUUUAUUUGCUGGGAUUCCAUUAUUGG